UUCAACAACGGAUCUCUUGGUUCUGGCAUCGAUGAAGAACGCAGCGAAAUGCGAUAAGUAAUGUGAAUUGCAGAAUUCAGUGAAUCAUCGAAUAUUUGAACGCACAUUGCGCCCUCUGGUAUUCCGGGGGGCAUGCCUGUUCGAGCGUCGCAAAAA
rnacentral:rRNA from 1 species